rnacentral:other from 1 species
AAACCUCUGCGGUGUUCGUGAAUAGACGGCACUUUUGAAGAACCGAUGGAGUACCCGCAGGGAGCCAAUAAUUUGUCCGGCGCUUGCAAGCCCACCCUGGUUGUGGGAUCCAAAACCCGGACGUGAGGCACCCAGCCUAAACAGCGGGUUCUCAAAAGCGUCUACACGGCACAGGCGGAGGUUUU